ACUGAUGCAUUAAAUGGAAGAAAAAAAAGGGUUACAUCCCACCCACUAUUAGCUGUCAAAAUAAAUUGCCAUUAAGAUCUGUUUCCCCUAACUUAACUUAAAAAAACUUCACAAAAGCAGCCCUUAAAGAAAACCAAAAAUUAAAACCCUAAUAAUCCUAAUUCAGAACAAAACAAUCAAACAAAACCAAAGAAAUCCGGUGUGUAACCAAACCGUCAGCCGCCUUCUUUUUUUACCUUUCGUCUCUUCAUCAGUGUUUGUAGCAGGAGUGGAUCUAUAUUUCUGAUAUUCUCGAAACUUCUUCUCUGCCCAUUCUCCCUCUGUCCAGAGCUGGUAUUCUUUCCACUUUUUCUGGUGCUUCCUUGAUCCAAAACAUCGAAGAGUCGAACCUUUUUCCUUUCUGUGCCAUUUCGUGUGCUGCACGAUUCGCCAUACGAGGUACGAAUCUAAACUUUAUAUAAUCAAAAUUCUUAAUCUUGCUUUACUUUCUUUUAUCAAAGCAGCACUAACCGAUUCAUCUUCUAUUGCAUCCACCACUUUUUUGAUAAUGCUAAAUGAGUCCCUUUCAACCACUAUUCUCCGAAAACCUAGUUCUUCAGUAUAGAUUAACGCCUGAACACAUGUUCAUGCUUCUGCAAUUGUCGCAUCUCUCACAUGCAAAUUUGGGACUUGUUCGGUAAAACGACACUCACGAAAGAUGUGUUCAACAUAUUCUUCAUUAUUUCGACAUACUGGGCAUAAAUUUUGUACUCCAAUAUUUCUUUUGCUGUAAAUUUGAUAAUAUGGGCAUGUAAUUUUUAAUGAUUUUCCAGCAUGUAAUAUUUCUUCAUAUUUUUGUAAAGAGGGAUUUUUAUAACUCAUUUCGAUUAUCACUGGUGGUUGUAUCUGCUAAUUCAAGCCAUCUGUACCAGCUUUUGAUCGAGUAGAUUUUGAAAUUUUUGCCCCUCUAAACCAAAUGGUCAUCUUGAUCACAGCUUGAUAAAGGUAUGUCUAGUGUACUUCGUGUAGUUUCCUCAGCAAAAAAGUUUUCAAUAAUUUCUUCUUUCCAUAAAGCCGUAUGUAAUAGCCUAUUUUUCAGUGAAAUUAGAACAGUAGUCUCGGAAAAA